ensembl:lncRNA novel transcript, sense intronic to RPGRIP1L
UAAAGCUAGCACUGUUUUGAUCCCCAUCACUGAAGUUUGCAACGUUUACCUUAUUUGUUUAAUAUAGUACAUUUUAACAGAACAUGUUAGAAAAGAUAGAUUACUGCCACGGACGAAAACUGGGUGGUUUUCUUUUGUUUGUUAAAAACCUUAUUACCUUGACAGCUUGAGAUUCUGGAGACAUCACCUUUGUAUGUACUUAUUAUUAUUAUUUUAAAUAAUCAACAGUUGUUAAAAUAAACAGUUAAACAGUUAUUAAACAAUCAAAAUGCUUUAAUCAGAACUUGUAUGAGGAGUGGAUUUGAUGCACAAUGUAAGAGGAAGCUUUGGAGCCUGAUGUGAAGGACUGAAGGGGAUUUUUUUGAGUCUUUGAGAGGAUGUCUCUGCCCAUGCCCAGCCUGAAGAAGGGAACUUGUAAGAAUCACCAUUAAUUAAUAUGCAUUCCUACCCUACUUACAUAUGGCUCUGUCAAUACCAGUGGUUGAGUCUGAUUGUUUUAACCAACUGUUUUGAGCUUGUCUUAGAGCUCACCCCAAUUAAAAUUUGUACUCUUCAAAAGCA